AAUAUACACAUUAAUAUACUGAGCCAAAAAAUGGCUUCGAAAAGAAAUGUAUUCAUUGCUGUGUUCUUAGUUACGGUGCUUCUCAUUUCCUCGGAAGUUGCAGACACUAGAGAACUCACUCAGACGUCUAAUACAGUGGCGUGUAAGCACUUUCUUUCUCUUUUUCAAACUUAAUCCUAUUAUGCAAUACAUAGAUUGAAAUUAUAGGCUCCAAGGCACUUUUUAUGUGGAAUUUGGAAUAGGUACGAUUAUGUAAAUCUACACAAAAUUCGAAUAUUAAUCACCAUGUGUUAGGUGGAAUUUUUUCUAGGAUUUUGUUAAUGAAUACUAUAACAAGUUAUAUAUAUAUAGUUAAAAUCAGGGACGGAGCCAGGAAUUAAGUUCGGGGGCCGAGAAUUGUUUUUUGGGCACUCUGUAUAUUUAAGGUAUUGUUUUUAUUAAAAUACGAGCAUAAUAGUCACCUCUUAAAUCACGCACGAAGCUGCCAAAACAGGCCCUUAGCGCUCGCCUCACGGCAGAGGCAGCAGUGGGCUGCGGCCACAGCUCACGGAGGCCGCCGCCGCACCCUUUCACUAAUUGGAGUCGGUGGGCGCAGGCCACUGCACUGUGCAACAUUUUUAUUUUGGUCUGUUCUCCCUCGUUUCAAGUCCGAUUUUAGAUCCGUUUUCGUCCACGAACUCAUAUUGAGAUUAGCUUCAAUUAUUCUUCAGAUCAUUCAACUCAAUUCUGACUCCAUUUUUGUUCACGGAUUAAUCUAUUCAAUCAUAAAAUUUUGAGACAAUAAAAUUAGCACAAAAGCUCAAAUCAAUCAACUCUUGAGUGAAUGAGACCAAUAUAUAAACCAAUAUCACUCCUAAACACCCAGAAAAUCAUAACAAUAUAGGUCCAAACAAUUAUAAAUUUAACAUAUUUGAAUGAUUAUAGAAUAUUAUUUUACAAGUUUGGAAUGAGUAUUGCAAUCUCUAUUCUUAUUUAUCUUAACUGAUUAUCGUACAAACUUAUAUUUGGUUAUUUAGAUAUUUUAUAAUUUAAAUGGAUUCAAGUAAUUUGAGGGUGCUACUAAAUGGAACUAAGACGAGAACAAGUAGUAAAAUAAUUUUUUAUUCGGAUUUGGGAUAGGUACGA
rnacentral:lncRNA from 1 species